AACGAACGCUGGCAGCAGGCCUAACACAUGCAAGUCGAACGCCCCGCAAGGGGAGUGGCAGACGGGUGAGUAACGCGUGGGAACGUGCCUUUCGGUUCGGAAUAGGCCGGGGAAACCCGGGUUAAUACCGGAUACGUCCUUCGGGAGAAAGAUUUAUCGCCGAGAGAUCGGCCCGCGUCUGAUUAGCUAGUUGGCGGGGUAAUGGCCCACCAAGGCGACGAUCAGUAGCUGGUCUGAGAGGAUGAUCAGCCACACUGGGACUGAGACACGGCCCAGACUCCUACGGGAGGCAGCAGUGGGGAAUAUUGGACAAUGGGCGCAAGCCUGAUCCAGCCAUGCCGCGUGAGUGAUGAAGGCCCUAGGGUUGUAAAGCUCUUUCGGCGGGGACGAUAAUGACGGUACCCGCAGAAGAAGCCCCGGCUAACUUCGUGCCAGCAGCCGCGGUAA
rnacentral:rRNA from 1 species